UCACUCUCUAUGUAAAUAAACUUAUGGAAGUUGUAGAUUUCAAACACUAGAUAUCAAAACAAAAGUAAACACCCCCAAAUCUCAAUGUUGAGAUGAGAAAAAACUAACCCUAGAUUUCAAUGUUGAGAGAGGUAAGGAAAUGGAGGCGCAGUUUCUCAGAGAAUUAGAGAAGAGAGAUGAACAAGAUUAUGCAGGUAUUGAUAGUGAAAAUGGAUUCGUGGGUUUGGUUCUGUUUCUAUUAGAAAGAAAUGACGAAGAACAAGUGCUGCUACUUCCAUGGUUGAAUCUGUGGUUGAUUUGAAACCAGUUUUUUAUUGAGGAAGAAGAUGAGCUCGAUUUCAAGAAUAAAAGAUGGGUUUUAAUGGAUUUAAGUUAACAACAGGCGUGGAUGAAAUAAUUAUGAAUCUGGUGAUAUAGAAGUGGAAUUGUGAAGAGAAACACAGGAAUUUUGGGGAGUAGAUGAAUGUUAGGACAAGGGUUUUCGAACUGGGUUGGAUGGUGUUGAUGGUGUUAAGAUUGAGCUGCAGUUCAAAUUGGUUUUGAUGUUGAUUGUCAUGGGUUAGUCAGUUGCAGGAGAUUGGUGGUAGUGAAUCAAAUGCUAAAUAAUAAUAAAAUCAUUCAGAGAAGUAAAAGAAAAUGAAAGAUAUGGAUUUUGGUAUUGGACAACAGAUGCCGGUGGAAGAAGAAGAAACAGAAGCAACAACAGAAAUUACAGAACAGAGUGAAAGUGGAUUUAGAGAUAGAUAAGAGGAUUUGGUUGAUGAAUUGAAGAAGAAAUCUUUUGAAGAAGAUUGGAAAUGGUGGAAUUAGUAGUAUGGAGAACGAGUAUAUUUACAGACAUCAUACACACGAUGGAAUGAGAAAUAAUCGGUGUAGUUCAGCUCUUGUUAAACAUAUUAAAGAUCCUCUUCAUCUCGGGAUAGGGUACGAUGCCGACUCGCAGUCCACCAUCGAAACUCAAACGAGGAAAAUUGGAAGGGUUUUACAAGCCUAUACCUAAAGAAGCUCAGAAAGGGUUGCUGGGAACUCUGCAGUUGUCAUUGAAUAGAUCCUGUUGCCGAAAACAUGUUUCACUGGCCAGCAACAAUAAUGGGUCCCCCAGAAAGUCCUUACGCAGGAGGA